CAAGUCAAUGUCAAAGUGUUGCCUGGCUUGUUGUUGCCUUACAGCAAAGUUAAUUGCGCUGCACGCGCACGCCACAAGACG
rfam:Drosophila virilis strain TSC#15010-1051.87 Ctg01_16943, whole genome shotgun sequence.